AGAACGAACGCUGGCGGCAUGCCUAACACAUGCAAGUCGAACGCUUUUGGGGCUUCGGUCCCAAAGGAGUGGCGCACGGGUGAGUAGCGCGUGGGAACCUGCCCUGGAGUGGGGGAUAACCGAGGGAAACUUCGGCUAAUACCGCAUACGCCGGGAAACCGGGAAAGAUUUAUCGCUCUAGGAGGGGCCCGCGUCGGAUUAGGUAGUUGGUGGGGUAACGGCCUACCAAGCCUGUGAUCCGUAGCUGGUCUGAGAGGAUGAUCAGCCACACUGGGACUGAGACACGGCCCAGACUCCUACGGGAGGCAGCAGUGGGGAAUAUUGCACAAUGGGGGAAACCCUGAUGCAGCGACGCCGCGUGCGGAUGAAGGCCUUCGGGUUGUAACCGCUUUCAGCAGGGGCGAAUUCGAGACGGUACCUGCAGAAGAGCGCCGGCUAACUACGUGCCAGCAGCCGC
rnacentral:rRNA from 1 species